rnacentral:rRNA from 1 species
AUUGAACGCUGGCGGUAUGCUUAACACAUGCAAGUCGAACGGAAACGAUGCUAGCUUGCUAGCAGGCGUCGAGUGGCGGACGGGUGAGUAAUGUAUAGGAACUUGCCCAGUAGUGGGGGACAACUUAUGGAAACGUAAGCUAAUACCGCAUAAUCUCUACGGAGGAAAGUGGGGGAUCUUUCGGGACCUCACGCUACUGGAUGGGCCUAUAUUAGAUUAGCUAGUUGGUGAGGUAAUGGCUCACCAAGGCGACGAUCUAUAGCUGGUCUGAGAGGACGAUCAGCCACACUGGGACUGAGACACGGCCCAGACUCCUACGGGAGGCAGCAGUGGGGAAUAUUGGACAAUGGACGCAAGUCUGAUCCAGCAAUACCGCGUGUGUGAAGAAGGCCUUAGGGUUGUAAAGCACUUUUAGUAGGGAGGAAAAGCAACUAUUUAAUACGUAGUUGCCGUGACGUUACCUACAGAAAAAGCACCGGCUAACUCCGUGCCAGCAGCCGCGGUAAUACGGAGGGUGCAAGCGUUACUCGGAAUCACUGGGCGUAAAGCGCGCGCAGGCGGGCUUGAAAGUCAGAUGUGAAAGCCUAUGGCUCAACCAUAGAACUGCAUUUGAAACUUCAAGUCUAGAGUGUGGGAGAGGAAGAUGGAAUUAGUUGUGUAGGGGUAAAAUCCGUAGAGAUAACUAGGAAUACCAAAAGCGAAGGCGAUCUUCUGGAACACUACUGACGCUGAGGCGCGAAGGCGUGGGGAGCAAACAGGAUUAGAUACCCUGGUAGUCCACGCAGUAAACGAUGAAUGUUAGUCGUUGGGGAGCUCGUCUCUUCAGUGAUGCAGCUAACGCAUUAAACAUUCCGCCUGGGGAGUACGGUCGCAAGAUUAAAACUCAAAGGAAUAGACGGGGACCCGCACAAGUGGUGGAGCAUGUGGUUUAAUUCGAAGAUACGCGAAGAACCUUACCUGGCCUUGACAUUGAUAGAAUCUGCUAGAGAUAGCGGAGUGCCUUCGGGAGCUUGAAAACAGGUGCUGCACGGCUGUCGUCAGCUCGUGUCGUGAGAUGUUGGGUUAAGUCCCGCAACGAGCGCAACCCUCGUGACUAGUUACUAACGGUUCGGCCGAGGACUCUAGUCAGACUGCCUCCGCAAGGAGGAGGAAGGUGAGGACGACGUCAAGUCAUCAUGGCCCUUACGGCCAGGGCAACACACGUGCUACAAUGGUUAGGACAAUGAGAUGCAAUAUCGCGAGGUGGAGCAAAUCUAUAAACCUAAUCUCAGUUCGGAUAGCAGUCUGCAACUCGACUGCUUGAAGCUGGAAUCACUAGUAAUCGUAGAUCAGCUAUGCUACGGUGAAUACGUUCCCGGGUCUUGUACACACUGCCCGUCACACCAUGGGAGUUGGUUGCAAAAGAAGUAGGUAGUCUAACCCUCGGGAGGACGCUUACCACUUUGUGGUCAAUGACUGGGGUG